rnacentral:lncRNA from 10 species
GGAAGAAAGGGCCUGUGAUCUCAUGGCAUCCAAGUGUCUGACAGAUUCUCCUGUUUGAGGAACGUUGCUGGCUAGUGACAUGGAGGAGCACUCACCAAGAGAGAAGGGGUUGAUUUUAUCACUGAAAGCCCAGCUCUGUGGUACAUUCUAGAAGCUCUCAACAUCUAAUCUGAUGGUGCGCACCAGAAGCUUCUCCGUCCUAUUGAAUCUAAUGAGAACAUCACGUGGGCAAGCGUUCAGUUAACACCCAAAAAGAGCUGCAGCCACAGACUGGCACUGCAUCAGGAAAGGCAGACGGGAACACAUUCUAGUGAAAUGCAGGAAGUUAGAGACACGAGGCAAAAAAGAUGUUAAAGAGUUUUGUGUCAGAGAUAGCAGAAACUCCUUAAUUACUUUUUGGAGUUUGGAUUUCUAAAUCACAGCUUUCUGGAAAAUUCAGAUUCUUAUCAGUAAAAGAUCCUGCUUUAGGUUAUUUAAUAUUUGGAGUCUUAUUAUCAUUAUUUGUACUUUAUCGCACAGGUUGGAGUGCAGUGGUGCAAUCUCGGCUCUCAGCAACCUCUGCCCCCGGGUUAAAGUGAUUCUUGUGCCUCAGCCUCCCAAGUAGCUGGUAUUACAGGCACUCACCACCGCACCUGGCUAAUUUUUGUAUUUUUAGUAUAGACAGUGUUUCACCAUGUUGGCCAGGCUGGUCCCAAACUCCUGACCUCAAAUGAUCUGCCCACCUCAGCUUCCUAAAAUGCUGGGAUUACAGACGUGAGCCACUGUGCCUGGCCUGGAGUCAUAUUAUUUUGUAAAAGCAGUAAAGAAUAUAAAAUGGUAACCAUAAAGAGGAAAUAUUUUAAUACAGCAAAUAUAUCUGAAAUUUGACCCCCUAAGCAUAUCAGUAUUCCCCCCAUCUAGUCCUCUAUAUAUCCAUAUUAUUUGUACGUAAACAAAAGCAUUUUUAUCUUCCACCUUUCCUCUGGUAUAUCGGAAGUGUUUUACACACUUCCUCUGAGGAGUUUUGAUUAUAUUAAAUAUUAUAUGAAAUAUUUCUACACUUUACUAUCAUGCCCUUUAAAACAUUUUUAAAGCCUAAAGGAAGGUACUGCCAUUCUAUUUCCCUCCCUUUGUUAAAGUCACCAAGAUUAAUUUGAUAUUGGUUGACUGAGACGGUCUUACUCACCCAGGCUGGAGUACAGUGGCUUGAUCAUAACUCACUGCUGUGACCUCCAACUCCUGGGCUUAAGCGAUCUUCAGGCCUCAAUGUCCUGAGUAACUGGGACUACAAGUGUGUGCCACCGUGCCCAGCAAAUUUUUAAAAAUAUUUUUUAGAGACAGGGGUCUCACUAUGUUGCCCUUGCUGGUCUUGAACUCCUGGGCUCAAGUGAUCCUCCCUCCUCU